rnacentral:pre_miRNA from 1 species
UUUUUAGCAUAAAUAUGUCUCAUGCAAUGUUUGGAAUAUGGCUUAUGCUAAGA